GCUGAAGUCGUACCGUAAGGAGCGGUGGACUGAUUACGAGUGAGAAUGUUGGCAUUAGUAGCGAGAUGUAGGUGAGAAUCCUACAGGCCGAAUAUCUAAGGUUUCCUCAGGAAGGCUCGUCCGCUGAGGGUUAGUCGGGACCUAAGCCGAGGCCGAAAGGCGUAGGCGAUGGACAAUCGGUUGAUAUUCCGAUACCACUACCAUCGUUAUUAUCGAGGGUGUGGCGGAGAAGGAUAGUGUGUGCUAGCGAUUGGAAAUGCUAGUCUAAGCGUUUAGGGAGUUACGGUAGGCAAAUCCGCUGUAACAAUUCUGAGGCGUGAUGGGGAAGGUCAUAUAGGCCGAAGUACAUGAUUCCAUGCUUCCAAGAAAAGCAUCUAGAGAGAGAAGUAGUGCCCGUACCGCAAACCGACACAGGUAGAUGAGGAGAGAAUCCUAAGGCCGGCGGAAGAAUUGCAGUUAAGGAACUAGGCAAAUUGACCCCGUAAGUUCGCGAGAAGGGGUGCCUGCGAGAGCAGGCCGCAGAGAAUAGGCCCAAGCAACUGUUUAGCAAAAACACAGGUCUCUGCUAAAGCGUAAGCUGAUGUAUAGGGGCUGACGCCUGCCCGGUGCUGGAAGGUUAAGGGGAACACUUAGCGCAAGCGAAGGUGUGAACUUAAGCCCCAGUAAACGGCGGCCGUAACCAUAACGGUCCUAAGGUAGCGAAAUUCCUUGUCAGGUAAGUUCUGACCCGCACGAAUGGCGUAAUGACUUGGGCACUGUCUCAACUGCAAAUCCGGCGAAGUUGUAGUGCGAGUGAAGAUGCUCGCUACCCGCGAUUGGACGGAAAGACCCCGUAGAGCUUUACUGUAGCUUAGCAUUGAAUUCCGGUAUUGUCUGUACAGGAUAGGUGGGAGACUGGGAAACUAGGGCGUCAGCCUUAGUGGAGUCAACCUUGGGAUACCACCCUGACAGUACUGGGGUUCUAACAGGACGCCAUGAAUCUGGUGACUGGACAUUGUUAGGUGGGCAGUUUGACUGGGGCGGUCGCCUCCUAAAAAGUAACGGAGGCGCCCAAAGGUUCCCUCAGAACGGUCGGAAAUCGUUCGUAGAGUGCAAAGGCAGAAGGGAGCCUGACUGCGAGACAUACAAGUCGAGCAGGGACGAAAGUCGGGCUUAGUGAUCCGGUGGUACCUCGUGGGAGGGCCAUCGCUCAACGGAUAAAAGCUACCUCGGGGAUAACAGGCUGAUCUCCCCCAAGAGUCCACAUCGACGGGGAGGUUUGGCACCUCGAUGUCGGCUCGUCGCAUCCUGGGGCUGUAGUAGGUCCCAAGGGUUGGGCUGUUCGCCCAUUAAAGCGGCACGCGAGCUGGGUUCAGAACGUCGUGAGGCAGUUCGGUCCCUAUCCGUCGCGGGCGUAGGAAAUUUGAGAGGAGCUGUCCUUAGUACGAGAGGACCGGGAUGGACUGACCUCUGGUGCACCAGUUGUUCCGCCAGGAGCAUGGCUGGGUAGCUAAGUCGGGAAGGGAUAAACGCUGAAAGCAUCUAAGCGUGAAGCCUCCCUCAAGAUGAGAUUUCCCAUAGCAUAAGCUAGUAAGACCCCUUGAAGAACACAAGGUUGAUAGGUCAGAGGUGUAAGUGCGGUAACGUAUUUAGCUGACUGAUACUAAUAGGUCGAGGGCUUGAUC
rnacentral:rRNA from 1 species